rnacentral:lncRNA from 1 species
GAGCUGUGUUGACUGUCAUUGCUUCUUUGGUGGAUUUCCAUGCAGCCUUUUCCCCCUUUGUCCCAAGAACUUUGUCGUUCUUGUAGUCGGCGAUCAGUUCUUUCUUCCCAUGAUGGGCGAUGCUCAACUCCAUGUCAUGGGCGCGGGUGGCUAGCUCUUCGAAGGUCCGUGGUUUGAUGCCUUGAAGGAUGUAUUGCAAACCCCAUUGCAUGCCUUGGAUGCACAUCUCGAUUGAAGAGGUUUCCGAGAGCCUAUCUUUACAGUCGAGGCUCAGAGUGCGCCAUCUGUUGAUGUAGUCAAUGACUGGCUCGUCCUUCCACUGCUUUGUGCUCGUUAGCUCUAGCAU